AUACCCAGAUGAUGCACUUAAAUAACCGAAAAAACUUAGUGUGGAAUGUUGAACACUUCAUGCACGCAACUGUCAUUACCCCAUAAAUA